rnacentral:rRNA from 1 species
GCGUCUUCGGCGUCCGCAUUGUAAUCUCAAGAAGUGUUUUCCGCUUCGGACCAUGCCUAAGUCCCUUGGAAAAGGGCAUCAUAGAGGGUGAUAAUCCCGUACAUGGCAUGGAGCGCCCGAGGCUUUGUGAUACGCUUUCUAAGAGUCGAGUUGUUUGGGAAUGCAGCUCAAAAUGGGUGGUAAAUGCCAUCUAAGGCUAAAUAUUGGGGAGAGACCGAUAGCGAACAAGUACAGUGAUGGAAAGAUGAAAAGAACUUUGAAAAGAGAGUUAAACAGUACGUGAAAUUGCCAAAAGGGAAGGGUAGGAGGUCAGAGAUGCGUCUUGGGAUUCAGCCUUGCUUUUGCUUGGUGUUUUUCCCAAGUUGCAGGCCAACGUCGGUUUUGGGCACUGGAGAAGGGUGGAAGGAACGUGGCACCUCUCGGGGUGUGUUAUAGCCUUCUACUGGAUACAGCGACCGAGACCGAGGACAGCAGCGUACUCGCAAGAGCGGGCCUUCGGGCACCUUUACGCUUAGGGCGUUGGCAUAAUGGCCCUCUACCACCCGUCUUGAAAC